AUCAUUUCUUGGCCUUUUGACUAAGAUCAAGUGUAGUAUCUGUUCUUAUCAGUUUAACAUCUAAUAAGUCCUCUAACUGAGGACAAUAUAUUAAACGGAUUUUUGGGAUUAGGGGAUGGAAUAGGAGCUUGCAUUUUCACUCCAUGCGUUGACCUGGUAUUGCAGUACUUCCAGGAAUGAUGUACCCCUC
rnacentral:snRNA from 1 species